AGAGUUUGAUCAUGGCUCAGAUUGAACGCUGGCGGCAUGCCUUACACAUGCAAGUCGAACGGCAGCGGGCCUUCGGGUGCCGGCGAGUGGCGAACGGGUGAGUAAUGCAUCGGAACGUGCCAUUGAGUGGGGGAUAACGUAGCGAAAGUUGCGCUAAUACCGCAUAUUCUGUGAGCAGGAAAGCAGGGGACCGCAAGGCCUUGCGCUCUUUGAGCGGCCGAUGUCAGAUUAGCUAAUUGGUGAGGUAAAGGCUUACCAAGGCGACGAUCUGUAGCGGGUCUGAGAGGAUGAUCCGCCACACUGGAACUGAGACACGGUCCAGACUCCUACGGGAGGCAGCAGUGGGGAAUUUUGGACAAUGGGGGCAACCCUGAUCCAGCCAUGCCGCGUGAGUGAAGAAGGCCUUCGGGUUGUAAAGCUCUUUCGGCCGGGAAGAAAUCGCAUGGGUGAAUACCCUGUGUGGAUGACGGUACCGGAACAAGAAGCACCGGCUAACUACGUGCCAGCAGCCGCGGUAAUACGUAGGGUGCGAGCGUUAAUCGGAAUUACUGGGCGUAAAGCGUGCGCAGGCGGUUUGGUAAGACAGGCGUGAAAUCCCCGGGCUUAACCUGGGAACUGCGCUUGUGACUGCCAGGCUAGAGUACGGCAGAGGGGGGUGGAAUUCCACGUGUAGCAGUGAAAUGCGUAGAGAUGUGGAGGAACACCAAUGGCGAAAGCAGCCCCCUGGGUCGAUACUGACGCUCAUGCACGAAAGCGUGGGUAGCAAACAGGAUUAGAUACCCCGGUAGU
rnacentral:rRNA from 1 species